rnacentral:rRNA from 1 species
GAUGAACGCUGGCGGCGUGCCUAAUACAUGCAAGUCGAGCGAACAGACGAGGAGCUUGCUCCUCUGACGUUAGCGGCGGACGGGUGAGUAACACGUGGAUAACCUACCUAUAAGACUGGGAUAACUUCGGGAAACCGGAGCUAAUACCGGAUAAUAUAUUGAACCGCAUGGUUCAAUAGUGAAAGACGGUUUUGCUGUCACUUAUAGAUGGAUCCGCGCCGCAUUAGCUAGUUGGUAAGGUAACGGCUUACCAAGGCAACGAUGCGUAGCCGACCUGAGAGGGUGAUCGGCCACACUGGAACUGAGCCACGGUCCAGACUCCUACGGGAGGCAGCAGUAGGGAAUCUUCCGCAAUGGGCGAAAGCCUGACGGAGCAACGCCGCGUGAGUGAUGAAGGUCUUCGGAUUGUAAAACUCUGUUAUUAGGGAAGAACAAAUGUGUAAGUAACUAUGCACGUCUUGACGGUACCUAAUCAGAAAGCCACGGCUAACUACGUG